rnacentral:pre_miRNA from 1 species
GGUGCCGGAGGGAGGUUGUCCGUGGUGAGUUCGCAUUGUUUAAUGAUGCCCAAUACACGGUCGAUCUCUUUUCGGUAUC